AGGUCUCAUUUGCAUGGAUGGGCCCUCCCUCUCUCAGGGAGUAAAGAGGGGAAGGGAGGAUUUAGGGGAGGUCUGCUCAGCUGUGGGCCCACAGAAGACAGGAUCCGUGAUGACCUCCACCAUGGCCUGGUCCCCUCUCCUCCUUGCCCUCCUCGCUCACUGCACAGGGUCCUGGGCCCAGUCUGGGCUGACUCAGCCACCCUCAGUCUCUGGUUCUCUGGGCCAGAGGGUCACCAUCUCCUGCACUGGAAGCAGUUCCAACAUCGGUAGUUAUUGGGUAAACUGGCACCAACAACUCCCAGGAAUGGCCCCCAAAACUAUCAUCUAUGCUAAUAGCAAUCGACCGUCAGGGAUCCCCAAUCGAUUCUCUGGCUCCAAGUCUGGCAACACAGGCACUCUGACCAUCACCGGGCUCCAGGCUGAAGACGAGGGUGAUUAUUACUGCUCAUCAUGGGACAAUAGUCUGAAUAGGCACAGUGCUCCAGGCCUAUGGGGAAAUGAGACAAAAACCUGCUUUCUCAUCUGUGAAGAGAGGAAACAGACCAGCAGUUGGCUGAUCAGCUAGGCCUGUGAUUCUCCUUAUUCUUUUGCUGAUACUCUGGGCCCAAGUCCAUCUGGUGACACCUUGUGUGAUUGAUGUUCCUCCUGUCCCUUCUGUUGUCCAAUUCAGUCUGAGCAGACCAUUCUUUGACAAAGAGUCUUCAUGAAACAGAUGUUUUUGUUUUCUUUUGUUUUGUUUUGUUUUGUUUCGUUUUGUGGGGUAAUUUGCUUCUAGGCUGGAUCAUGUUAU